AUACGGGCAAACUUAUCGAAAGGUAAGGACGCAAAGCCGUGGGUCUAAGGAUCGUUUGAUCUAUGACUGCCUGGUU
rnacentral:ncRNA from 1 species